GACGAACGCUGGCGGCGUGCUUAACACAUGCAAGUCGAACGAUGAAGAAGAGCUUGCUCUUCGGAUUAGUGGCGAACGGGUGAGUAACACGUGACUAACCUGCCCCUUUCUCUGGGAUAACGCUCCGAAAGGAGUGCUAAUACCGGAUACUCACAUCGAGGCACAUGCCUUGAUGUGGAAAGUUUUUCGGAAAGGGAUGGAGUCGCGGCCUAUCAGCUUGUUGGUGGGGUAAUGGCCUACCAAGGCGACGACGGGUAGCCGGCCUGAGAGGGUGAACGGCCACAUUGGGACUGAGACACGGCCCAAACUCCUACGGGAGGCAGCAGUGGGGAAUAUUGCACAAUGGGCGCAAGCCUGAUGCAGCGACGCCGCGUGAAGGAAGAAAGUCUUCGGAUUGUAAACUUCUAUCAGCAGGGAAGAAUAAAUGACGGUACCUGACUAAGAAGCCCCGGCUAACUACGUGCCAGCCGCCGCUGUAA
rnacentral:rRNA from 1 species